UAAAUCAAGAAAAUAGAAAUUAAAUACAUCCCAAUGAUAAAGUCAAAAAGGUUUUCUAUCCAGGGACAGAUGUAUUCUAAGGAUUUCCUCUGUUCCACUGCAGGUUCCAUGGAAAGUGCCUUUUAAAAAUAUUUACGUGCAAAAUAACAGCAGGAGGUCAACUUUACAUUGUCGUGGUUUACGCAUUCAUUUCCUCAUAAUCUGUUGCACAUGCCCUUUACGGCUAUCAAAAUGGGCACAUUCCUCCUCAUUUCUCAGAUUUUUGCAUGCUGCUGCUGGGGCACAGAAGGCUUGAAGGGGAAAAGAGAAAGAGAAAGUGCCGAUGUGCAUUAAGAGGGCAUCAUUGGAUAUCACCUAAUAAACCCUAUAGGCUCAAAACAGAGGAAGUU